UUCCUCUCUCCCGCAAGAUUCUCACAAGCUCAACGCGGGAUUUUCACUUUUGAUUCGCAGAGUAGCGAAGCAACAACAAUGGCGUCCGGGAACAGGGUAGAUCUAGACGGCAACCCCAUUAAGCCAAUCACUAUUUGCAUGAUUGGCGCUGGUGGGUUCAUUGGUUCUCACCUCUGUGAGAAGCUUAUGGCUGAAACACCUCACAAGGUGCUUGCUCUUGAUGUUUAUAAUGACAAGAUUAAGCACCUUCUUGAGCCCGAUUCGCUUCCCUGGGCCGAUCGUAUUCAGUUCCACCGUCUCAAUAUCAAGAAUGAUUCCAGGCUUGAGAGCCUCAUUCGCAUGGCAGAUCUGACGAUAAAUCUUGCUGCGAUCUGUACUCCUGCGGACUACAAUACGCGACCCCUUGAUACUAUCUACAGCAAUUUCAUCGACGCAAUUCCUGUGGUGAAAUACUGUUCCGGCAACAACAAGCGUCUGAUUCACUUUUCAACUUGCGAAGUGUAUGGUAAGACAAUUGGAAGCUUUCUUCCAAAAGAUAGCCCUCUCCGUCAGGAUCCAGCAUAUUAUGUUUUGAGUGAGGAUUCUUCUCCUUGCAUCUUUGGUCCCAUUGAGAAGCAAAGAUGGUCUUAUGCAUGUGCCAAACAAUUAAUCGAAAGGCUGA
rnacentral:misc_RNA from 1 species